AAGCGCUCAUGACCAGACUUGGGCUUGGUUGAUCAUCCAGGCUUCUGUUUGGUGCACUCAACUGUGUUCAGGCCAGCAUCGGUUUUGGUGGUGGGAUAAAGGCCUUGGGAAUGUAGCUUCUUUCGGGGAGUGUUAUAGCCCUCGG
rnacentral:rRNA from 1 species